AUUGAACGCUGGCGGCAUGCUUUACACAUGCAAGUCGAACGGUAACAGGCCGCAAGGUGCUGACGAGUGGCGAACGGGUGAGUAAUGCAUCGGAACGUGCCCAGUCGUGGGGGAUAACUACUCGAAAGAGUAGCUAAUACCGCAUACGAUCUAUGGAUGAAAGCGGGGGACCGUAAGGCCUCGCGCGAUUGGAGCGGCCGAUGUCAGAUUAGGUAGUUGGUGGGGUAAAGGCUCACCAAGCCAACGAUCUGUAGCUGGUCUGAGAGGACAACCAGCCACACUGGGACUGAGACACGGCCCAGACUCCUACGGGAGGCAGCAGUGGGGAAUUUUGGACAAUGGGCGCAAGCCUGAUCCAGCAAUGCCGCGUGCAGGAAGAAGGCCUUCGGGUUGUAAACUGCUUUUGUACGGAACGAAACGGCUCUGGUUAAUACCCGGGGCUAACGACGGUACCGUAAGAAUAAGCACCGGCUAACUACGUG
rnacentral:rRNA from 1 species